GACGAACGCUGGCGGCGUGCUUAACACAUGCAAGUCGAACGCUGAAGCACCAGCUUGCUGGUGUGGAUGAGUGGCGAACGGGUGAGUAAUACGUGAGUAACCUGCCCUUGACUCUGGGAUAAGCCCGGGAAACUGGGUCUAAUACUGGAUGCUACAUGUCACCGCAUGGUGGUGUGUGGAAAGGGUUUACUGGUCUUGGAUGGGCUCACGGCCUAUCAGCUUGUUGGUGAGGUAAUGGCUCACCAAGGCGACGACGGGUAGCCGGCCUGAGAGGGUGACCGGCCACACUGGGACUGAGACACGGCCCAGACUCCUACGGGAGGCAGCAGUGGGGAAUAUUGCACAAUGGGCGAAAGCCUGAUGCAGCGACGCCGCGUGAGGGAUGACGGCCUUCGGGUUGUAAACCUCUUUCAGCAGGGAAGAAGCCACAAGUGACGGUACCUGCAGAAGUAGCGCCGGCUAACUACGUG
rnacentral:rRNA from 1 species